GGCCCAAUGGCAUAGCGGUUAUUGCUCCACGCAUCCUUAUCUGAGUUAGGAUGAAUAACGCGAAAGUUGCAGGUUCGACUCCUGCUUGGGCUU